UCACUAAAAACUAGCCGCUUACAGCCGGCGC
rnacentral:sRNA from 1 species